rnacentral:rRNA from 1 species
UUUCUGUUUGAUCCCGGCGGAGGUCACUGCUAUCGGGGUUCGAUUAAGCCAUGCGAGUUGAGAGGGUUUAGACCCUCAGCGGACUGCUCAGUAACACGUGGAUAACCUGCCCUAAGGUGGAGAAUAACCCCGGGAAACUGGGGAUAAUACUCCAUAGAUUAGAGAUACUGGAAUGUUCUCUAGUCGAAAGCUCCGGCGCCUUAGGAUGGAUCUGCGGUCGAUUAGGUUGUUGUUGGGGUAACGGCCCAACAAGCCUGUAAUCGAUACGGGUUGUGGGAGCAAGAGCCCGGAGAUGGAAUCUGAGACACGAUUCCAGGCCCUACGGGGCGCAGCAGGCGCGAAAACUUUACAAUGCAGGAAACUGUGAUAAGGGAACCCCGAGUGCCCGUAUACGCGGGCUGUCCAGGUGUUUAAAACGCAUCUGAAGAAAGGGCCGGGCAAGACCGGUGCCAGCCGCCGCGGUAAUACCGGCGGCUCGAGUGGUGGCCACUUUUAUUGGGCUUAAAGCGUCCGUAGCUGGACCCUUAAGUCUCUUGGGAAAUCCGCCGGCUUAACCGGCGGGCGUCUAAGAGAUACUGGGGGUCUAGGGACCGGGAGAGGUGAGAGGUACUCCGGGGGUAGGAGUGAAAUCCUGUAAUCCCUGGGGGACCACCUAUGGCGAAGGCAUCUCACCAGAACGGCUCCGACAGUGAGGGACGAAAGCUGGGGGAGCGAACCGGAUUAGAUACCCGGGUAGUCCCAGCCGUAAACUAUGCGCGUUAGGUGUACUGGUGACCACGAGUCACUGGGGUGCCGAAGGGAAACCGUGAAACGUGCCGCCUGGGAAGUACGGUCGCAAGGCUGAAACUUAAAGGAAUUGGCGGGGGAGCACCACAACGGGUGGAGCCUGCGGUUUAAUUGGACUCAACGCCGGAAAUCUCACCGGAUAGGACAGACAUAUGAUAGCCGGGCUGAAGACUCUGCUUGAUGAUCUGAGAGGAGGUGCAUGGCCGUCGUCAGUUCGUACUGUGAAGCAUCCUGUUUAGUCAGGCAACGAGCGAGACCCCCCAAUCACUAGUGAAUUC